UUUUAGACCCUAUGGUCAUUUUGUAAAUGUUAACACUUUGUAAUGAUAUUGUUGUAAUAUUCACUGAUGAUGUCACUUUAUGCAUGAAAAUUUAAUCCUCGGCAUGCAUAAAGGGAGCAUUUGGUUUCUAUUUAAACCGGAUAUGACAAUUAGCUACCAAAUAAAAAUAGCACCAUCCCACCUCUAAACCAUCUACUUAGCCUUGACACCAAGCAUCAAUCCCAUGACAACAACAAAUAAAGCAUGUAGAACAUGCGCAAGUUUGACCUUGUGCCUAUAAAUCCAGAUCAACUUUAUCUCGUCCAUAGCCUUCUGAACAACACCGUCUUGAGCUCAUUCCUAAUCUCUCAAAGCUCAUUGUUGGCUUUUACCAAUUCUUCCACCCACUUUGCAUCCUCUUCAACUUGCACCUUCUUCUUUAUGAGCUUCACAAGAACACCAUAGACCCUCUCAUCCCUUUCUGGAUCAACCCAAAUCAUGUAACCACAUUGCUUCUUUUCCUACUACAAAAU
rnacentral:lncRNA from 1 species